UAAUAAACCCCCAACUUCGAUUCCACCACCGCUACUGCCACCAUUUUCCCUCUCUCUCUCUCUCUCUCUCUCUGCAAAACCCUAAAAACCCAUACUCUCCCGGACUCCAAUCUCCGGCAAUAGGCUUGCGAUCUUUCUCUCACAGCGUAUUCAUGGAAAAUUAGGUAGAAAUCAUACAUGCACUAAAAAGGGAGGAGAGAGGGGCAAGGGUGGAGAUGUAUAAGAACCAGCUGCAAGAGCUGGCGCAGAGGAGCUGCUUCAACCUCCCCUCCUACACCUGCGUCCGGGAAGGCCCCGACCACGCGCCCCGCUUCAAGGCCACCGUCAACUUCAACGGCGAGACCUUCGAGAGCCCCCACUACUUCUCCACGCUCCGCCUCGCAGAGCACGCCGCCGCCGAGGUCGCCCUCGCCGCCCUCUCCACCCGCGGCCCUUCUCACUCCCUCGCCGCCCGCAUCCUCGAUGAGACAGGUGUUUACAAGAACCUGCUACAGGAGAUUGCACAGAGAGUUGGAGCGCCGUUGCCGCGAUACACAACUUUCAGGUCAGGGCUUGGGCACCAACCCAUCUUCACUGGGAUGGUAGAACUGGCUGGAAUUACUUUCACAGGGGAACCUGCCAAGAACAAAAAACAAGCUGAAAAGAAUGCCGCUCUGGCAUCUUGGACAUCUCUGAAACAAUUGGCACAACAAGAUGCAACUUCAUCAUCUGAAACAGAGAACAAUGAUGAGCUAGAACAAAUUAAAAUUGCACGAGCAUUAUUAAAUUACCGUUUGAAGGAAAAGAUGAGAAUUGCUAACUCCUCCAAUGCUACAAUUCCAUUUGAAAAGAGAUUUCCAAUUCAGAACCUAAGACCAUCAAGUCCACAGCCUCGUGCAUCAACCACUUCAAAAAUCCUUCCCUUAAUCUGCCAAAAAGCAUCCCCUCGUCACAGACCCACAACCAUGCUUGUGAGUGAUGGCCUCACACAAUCACCAAAACUAGGACCACCAUCACAGCCUCCAGCCCCAGAAGGCAUGGUGAUCCAUCCUCAGAGGUUUCCUGCAGCAGGGGCAGCUCCUUAUGUUCCCAUAAGGCAUUGCAGGUCGCCUUACAAUGGGAUUGCUCCUCCGGUUACAGUGAGGACUGCAAUGCCUGUUUUCUCUGCACCACCACUCCCACCACCUUCUGUUCGCCCAUCACCUUUGAUGCAACCCAAACCUCUGCAAACUGCCCCUCCUGUCUCUAUAAGACAGGCUGUGCCAGUAUUUGCCUCUUCAUCUGGUUAUAAGGAAGAACCACUAAUAACAGUUAUAGCUCCUACUCCAUCAUACAAAUCACCACCUCAAGUGGGAGAAACUGGGAACAGAAGUGGCAAUGACAACCCUCAAGCACUAGAGGCAGCAAAGCUCUUUGAACAACUCAAAAUCUGACGGUGGUGGGAAGGAUUGCAAGAACCAAUAUGCGGACUGGACAUAGUGGGAGACUAGUACAAGCACUUGAUAUAUCAGUAGGUAAAAUGGAAGGAAGAAAUUUAUGACAAAAGAGGCCAAGAAAACCGAAGUGAAGAGAUUAUGUUAGCUGCUCAAAAAUGGUGAAAACUCAAACCAAGUGCAUAGUGUUCCUAAAUCCUGAUGCAAGGAACAAUAAAAUGUGGGAGAAUCCCAUCAUUGAGUCCUGAGAAUGCUGAAAAUGUGGAAAUACUUGUCUCUUCAGUCAAGACCAUUUAAACCAAGCCCGAUGACCUUCAUAUUUUCCCUAUUGAUCAUACCAGAGAAGUCAACUAAGCUUAUAUAAAUAACUAGCUGGAUGGAGAAACAGCAUCUGAAUCCGCUAUGGAUCACUGUUGUCACUUCCAACCAAACUCUCAAUAACUUGAGCUUUGGGCUAAUGAUUCUGAUCUUUUAUGAUGGAUAGAUGAUGGGUUACAUCAGGUAGUUAGUUAUAUAUGCUACUAAGAAGAAGAGAAUGAAGAACUCGAGAAUAUAUAAUGGAUACGGCUGCACAUGCUCCUCUCUUGUUGUGGGCUUGUUUUGGUCAGCAAAGGGGUGACCCCCCCCCCCCCCCCCCCCCCGCCCAACCCACACACACAGUGUGAAGAGUGGAUUUUGCUUCAACCACACCCCUACUAGCCAGCCGGCCAAAGGCACAGGAGCAGCUCUGGCAGCGUGUUUUGUCCAUUUGUGGGUUAAAAGCUUUUUGUGGUGAAAGUAACAAGAGCAUGGAAAUGGAGUGGAGGGGGCAGUGAAAUGAUGUCAAAAAAAAGAAAAGCAGGGUGGGUAAUUCAAAGUGUGAUCAACAAGCAAAGCCAUUUUUUUUGGUUGUGCACAGUAUACAUUUCACAGCACAGAUGUCACUUCCAUGUGGGCAUUUGGCUGAGGUGGUUGUUGGCAGGAAUUAUCCGAGUCUCUUCAUCAAAAUAGACAAAUAAAUAUAUUUUUUAUAUUCUAUUUGCUUAUAUAAUAAUAAUUUCCCU